rnacentral:rRNA from 1 species
GACGAACGCUGGCGGCGUGCUUAACACAUGCAAGUCGAACGGAAAGGCCCUGCUUUUGUGGGGUGCUCGAGUGGCGAACGGGGGAGUAACACGGGAGUAACCUGCCCGUGACUUUGGGAUAACUUCAGGAAACUGGGGCUAAUACCGGAUAGGAGCUCCUGCUGCAUGGUGGGGGUUGGAAAGUUUCGGCGGUUGGGGAUGGACUCGCGGCUUAUCAGCUUGUUGGUGGGGUAGUGGCUUACCAAGGCUUUGACGGGUAGCCGGCCUGAGAGGGUGACCGGCCACAUUGGGACUGAGAUACGGCCCAGACUCCUACGGGAGGCAGCAGUGGGGAAUAUUGCACAAUGGGCGGAAGCCUGAUGCAGCAACGCCGCGUGCGGGAUGACGGCCUUCGGGUUGUAAACCGCUUUCGCCUGUGACGAAGCGUGAGUGACGGUAAUGGGUAAAGAAGCACCGGCUAACUACGUG